rnacentral:lncRNA from 1 species
UGGGGUUAUAGUACAUUAUUGGGGGUAUUUUUUAUUUUUUUAUUUUGGGUUUUUCUUCCAAAAAUUACCUUAUUUACAUCAAUUAUACUCAUCUAGUACAGAUUUGGCAGGAGAUGCACUCAAAAUAUGGUGUUUUAAACAUUUUAUCUGUAGUCUGUGCAUUUUUCCUAUGAUGUACAUGUACUUCUUGAUAAUGUUGAUGUGAGUAUCAUGAUAAAGAAAAUAUAUUUGGUAACCGUAAGUAUAUAUUCACAAUUGACAUGCACCAGAGCGAGAAAAGGAUCUUCUUUCCCUUUAAUUCCAAAAAUUGCACAUGAUUUUUUUUCUCUCACAGAAACACAUGAG